AGACAGAUUUGAUGGAUUUGAAUUGCCCUUUUGGUUGUUUAUUUCUGUACUGCUUUUUCAUGUUCGAAGGGACAGAGAGGAAUCGUUAGGGAAUGCGGCAUAUGUUGAAAAGAAAAGAAAAGAAAA
rnacentral:ribozyme from 1 species